UGGGGAAUAUUGGACAAUGGGCGCAAGCCUGAUCCAGCCAUGCCGCGUGAGUGAUGAAGGCCCUAGGGUUGUAAAGCUCUUUCACCGGUGAAGAUAAUGACGGUAACCGGAGAAGAAGCCCCGGCUAACUUCGUGCCAGCAGCCGCGGUAAUACGAAGGGGGCUAGCGUUGUUCGGAUUUACUGGGCGUAAAGCGCACGUAGGCGGACUUUUAAGUCAGGGGUGAAAUCCCGGGGCUCAACCCCGGAACUGCCUUUGAUACUGGAAGUCUUGAGUAUGGUGGAGGUGAGUGGAAUUCCGAGUGUAGAGGUGAAAUUCGUAGAUAUUCGGAGGAACACCAGUGGCGAAGGCGGCUCACUGGACCAUUACUGACGCUGUGGUGCGAAAGCGUGGGGAGCAAACAGG
rnacentral:rRNA from 1 species